rnacentral:rRNA from 1 species
AGAUUGAACGCUGGCGGCAUGCCUUACACAUGCAAGUCGAACGGCAGCACGGGAGCAAUCCUGGUGGCGAGUGGCGAACGGGUGAGUAAUACAUCGGAACGUGCCCAAUCGUGGGGGAUAACGCAGCGAAAGCUGUGCUAAUACCGCAUAAGAUCUACGGAUGAAAGCAGGGGAUCGCAAGACCUUGCGCGAAUGGAGCGGCCGAUGGCAGAUUAGGUAGUUGGUGAGGUAAAGGCUCACCAAGCCUUCGAUCUGUAGCUGGUCUGAGAGGACGACCAGCCACACUGGGACUGAGACACGGCCCAGACUCCUACGGGAGCAGCAGUGGGAAUUUGGACAAUGGCGAAAGCCUGAUCCAGCCAUGCCGCGUGCAGGAUGGAAGGCCUUGGGUUGUAAACUGUCUUUUUAGUAACGAACGUAAAGUCUCUUUACUAAUAAAGAGGAUCAUGACGGCAACGUAAGAAUAA